AACCGAAAACUGCACACCCCUAUUCAUGACCAUCUAAUACUUACUAUUUUUUUUCCCCAAUUAAGUAUUUAUGAAGCUAAUAACCUUAUAAAAGAAUAACUUUAUAUACUAGCUAACUCAAACUUAUCACUUAGUCUACCCACUUUCACUUAAUAUAUAUUAUUUAACACAGAGUUUAAAUAGAAAUCAAGUUUUUAUUCUAAGAAUCUCAACACAAAUUAAAUUAGCAUAUUAAUCUAAUAUCAAAAUAUUUAACAAAAAUCCGGCAACAUCUAUCCUGUAACGGAGAGAUUCCCCUUGCUAAAAAUUAACAGUUCACAAUAAAUAACAAACUUAGCAUUCGUUUUAAAUUCACAAACGUGACUCGGAUGACAAUUCGGAAUUGGCAGUUCAAUGAAUCCAAAAUAACCUUCACACACAUGAAUUCAUCCUACAACCAAUUCUUGUUCCUAAACUAACAGCUCCGUGACAAUAAUCCAGAGACUCAGUCAUUAACUGAUUCUUCUUAAAAGCCAAAAUAACAUAAUGAAUAUUACUAAUAUAGUUCCAGCUUAACAUUCAUCUAAUUUAAUUACACGUCUUAUUCUUUAUCUCCUUAAUCACUUACCUAUUUUUAUUUAUUUCAACCUUUACUGUACAAUUUCAAAUAUAAUAUAUAAAAAGCAUAUUCUGCCCUCAAAUAUCACUACAAAAUAUGAAUGUCUCCAACCUUUUGGACACAACUCCUCAUAAUUAGCCAUUUAACAAGAUCGAUCUAGAAAAUGCAAAACAUCACAUGAAUUGGCGCACUUCCAUUUAUUUACCACUAAAUCAUAAUAACACUAUCAUUUAUAAUUUCAAUAAUAUAUCAACAUACACAUAUAUGUAUAUAUUCAUUUUCAAUGAACUGACAAUAUUAAGCUUCAUUUUAAUUUAUUAAAUCUAUAUUCUUAUAAAACUAUGAAUAUCCGCUAUCUAAUACAUCCUUAAAAUUUUAUUCCCCUAAUAAUAUGCCAGUUGAAAUUAAAUUCUAAUUUCACCAAUAUGCUUCAAACCUUACCAUAUAAUUUCUCAAGCACAAAGAGUCUUCUAACUUAACCAAAAUUACACAGUUAUACACAUACUCGGUCUCCAAAAACCAACAAUUCUAACUGAAAAUUCAUCAUUUGAGAAUCUAAAGAUAUUACCUAAUUUUAGUGAGCAAGAAAUUAAAGUUUAGCAGUGAUUUCUAGCCCACUAAAAAUUAUCUAUCUUUUAUUAUUAUUAUUAUUAU
rnacentral:misc_RNA from 1 species